GACGAACGCUGGCGGCGUGCUUAACACAUGCCAGUCGAACGGAGUGGCGAAAGGGUGAGUAACACGUGGGUGAUCCGCCUUGCAUUUCGGGCUAAGCUUGGGAAACUGGGUCUAAUACCGGAUAGUGCAAGAUGAGCUCGCGGCCUAUCAGCUUGUUGGUUGGGUAAUGGCCUACCAAGGCGUCGAUGGGUAGCCGGCCUGGGAGGGUGUACGGCCAAAUUGGGACUGGGGAACAGGCCAGAGUCCUACUGGAGGCAGCAGUGGAUGAUAUUGCACGAUGGGCGGAAGCCGGAAGCAGCGACGCGGGGUGGGGGAGGAAGGGCCUCUGUGUGUAAACGCCAUACAGCUUGGACACGGUACCUGUAUAGGAAGCACCGACUAACUACGUGCCAGCAGCCGCGGUAAUUC
rnacentral:rRNA from 1 species